AAGACUAUACUCUCAGGAAUCAUUUCUAUAGUUUUUUACUAGAGAAAUUUCUCUGAAUGUGUAGAGCACCGGAAACUAAGAGGAGGAGCUGCGUUCUCCUCUGAGCAUGAAGUGAGCCCUUGGUGUUGCUUCUCGGCAACUGCCAUUUGCCAUUGAUGAUCGUUCUUCUCUUCCUCUGGGAGAGUAAGAGGGUACAGGAUGCAGUCUGAGUGAU
ensembl:snoRNA U3 Small nucleolar RNA U3